AUCGCUUCUCGGCCUUUUGGCUAAGAUCAAGUGUAGUAAGUGGUCAUAUUUUGAAAUUUUGGUAUGAUUAAAUUAAUUGUAAAAAAUUACCAUUCCAGGCUCAUGAAGCAGGAUUUUGGGAGAGAAUGGUCAGUGUUCAAUAGGAGACCACCCAUUGGAAUGCCCCUUAC
ensembl:snRNA U2 U2 spliceosomal RNA